AUGAGAACCCAUAGGAUGACAUGGGAGAUCAGAUAGUCAGCUUAUUAGUACUUAUUUUUUUCAUUGUCUUAAUGAAUUGGAUGGGUAUCCCCUCCUUAUUUCACAGAAGGGAAAAAAAUACAAAAAAAACAAAGCCUAAUACCUGUUCUCUCCACCCAAAGAGAUAAGACUAUAUAAGCAAAAGGACAUGACCAGUUGAAUAUUUAGUUUCAAGUAG
rnacentral:lncRNA from 1 species